CACCAGGCGCGAAACCUCUGCAAUAGGCGAAAGCUUGACAGGGUUACUCUGAGUGAUUUCCGUUAAGGAAAUCUUUUGGCACCUCUAAAAAUGGUGCAGAAUAAGGGGUGGGCAAGUCUGGUGUCAGCCGCCGCGGUAAUACCAGCACCCCGAGUGGUCGGGACGUUUAUUGGGCCUAAAGCAUCCGUAGCCGGUUCUACAAGUCUUCCGUUAAAUCCAACUGCUUAACAGGUGGGCUGCGGAAGAUACUAUAGAUCUAGGAGGCGGGAGAGGCAAGCGGUACUCGAUGGGUAGGGGUAAAAUCCGUUGAUCCAUUGAAGACCACCAGUGGCGAAGGCGGCUUGCCAGAACGCGCUCGACGGUGAGGGAUGAAAGCUGGGGGAGCAAACCGGAUUAGAUACCCGGGUAGUCCCAGCUGUAAACGAUGCAGACUCGGUGAUGAGUUGGCUAUAUGCCAUCUCAGUGCCGCAGGGAAGCCGUUAAGUUUGCCGCCUGGGGAGUACGGUCGCAAGACUGAAACUUAAAGGAAUUGGCGGGGAGCACAAGGGCGAUUCGCG
rnacentral:rRNA from 1 species